rnacentral:rRNA from 1 species
AGAGUUUGAUCCUGGGCUCAGAGCGAACGCCGGCGGCAGGCCUAACACAUGCAAGUCGAACGGACCCCCCGGGGUUAGUGGCGGACGGGUGAGUAACACGUGGGAACGUGCCUCUAGGUUCGGAAUAGCUCCUGGAAACGGGUGGUAAUGCCGAAUGUGCCCUUCGGGGGAAAGAUUUAUCGCCUUUAGAGCGGCCCGCGUCUGAUUAGCUAGUUGGUGAGGUAACGGCUCACCAAGGCGACGAUCAGUAGCUGGUCUGAGAGGAUGACCAGCCACACUGGGACUGAGACACGGCCCAGACUCCUACGGGAGGCAGCAGUGGGGAAUCUUGCGCAAUGGGCGAAAGCCUGACGCAGCCAUGCCGCGUGAAUGAUGAAGGUCUUAGGAUUGUAAAAUUCUUUCACCGGGGACGAUAAUGACGGUACCCGGAGAAGAAGCCCCGGCUAACUUCGUGCCAGCAGCCGCGGUAAUACA